UCAACCUCCGCUAUGUUGAGGUCUGCAAGGGC
rnacentral:piRNA from 1 species